GACGAACGCUGGCGGCGUGCUUAACACAUGCAAGUCGAACGGAAAGGCCCUGCUUUUGUGGGGUGCUCGUGUGGCGAACGGGUGAGUAACACGUGAGUAACCUGCCCUUGACUUUGGGAUAACUUCAGGAAACUGGGGCUAAUACCGGAUAGGAGCUCCUGCUGCAUGGUGGGGGUUGGAAAGUUUCGGCGGUUGGGGAUGGACUCGCGGCUUAUCAGCUUGUUGGUGGGGUAGUGGCUUACCAAGGCUUUGACGGGUAGCCGGCCUGAGAGGGUGACCGGCCACAUGGGGACUGAGAUACGGCACAGACGCCUACGGGGGGCAGCAGUGGGGAAUAUUGCACAAAGCGCGGAAGCCGGAUGCAGCAACGCCGCGUGCGGGAAGACGGCCUUCGGGUUGUAAACCGCUUUCGCCUGUGACGAAGCGUGAGUGACGGUAAUGGGUAAAGAAGCACCGGCUAACUACGU
rnacentral:rRNA from 1 species